ACGAACGCUGGCGGCGUGCUUAACACAUGCAAGUCGCACGGAAAGGCCCUGCUUUUGUGGGGUGCUCGAGUGGCGAACGGGUGAGAACACGUGAGUAACCUGCCCUUGACUUUGGGAUAACUUCAGGAAACUGGGGCUAAUACCGGAUAGGAGCUCCUGCUGCAUGGUGGGGGUUGGAAAGUUUCGGCGGUUGGGGAUGGACUCGCGGCUUAUCAGCUUGUUGGUGGGGUAGUGGCUUACCAAGGCUUUGACGGGUAGCCGGCCUGAGAGGGUGACCGGCCACAUUGGGGCUGAGAUACGGCCCAGACUCCUACGGGAGGCAGCAGUGGGGAAUAUUGCACAAUGGGCGGAAGCCUGAUGCAGCAACGCCGCGUGCGGGAUGACGGCCUUCGGGUUGUAAACCGCUUUCGCCUGUGACGAAGCGUGAGUGACGGUAAUGGGUAAAGAAGCACCGGCUAACUACGUG
rnacentral:rRNA from 1 species